rnacentral:rRNA from 1 species
AUUGAACGCUGGCGGCAGGCUUAACACAUGCAAGUCGAGCGGAGAUGAGGUGCUUGCACCUUAUCUUAGCGGCGGACGGGUGAGUAAUGCUUAGGAAUCCGCCUAUUAGUGGGGGACAACAUUCCGAAAGGAAUGAUAAUACCGUAUACGUCCUACGGGAGAAAGCAGGGGAUCUUCGGACCUUGCGCUAAUAGAUGAGCCUAAGUCGGAUUAGCUAGUUGGUGGGGUAAAGGCCUACCAAGGGGACGAUCUGAAGCGGGUCUGAGAGGAUGAUCCGCCACACUGGGACUGAGACACGGCCCAGACUCCUACGGGAGGCAGCAGUGGGGAAUAUUGGACAAUGGGGGGAACCCUGAUCCAGCCAUGCCGCGUGUGUGAAGAAGGCCUUAUGGUUGUAAAGCACUUUAAGCGAGGAGGAGGCUACUGAGACUAAUACUCUUGGAUAGUGGACGUUACUCGCAGAAUAAGCACCGGCUAACUCUGUGCCAGCCGCCGCAGUAAUAC